UACGUAGGGCGCAAGCGUUGUCCGGAAUUAUUGGGCGUAAAGAGCUCGUAGGCGGUCUGUCGCGUCGGCUGUGAAAUCCCGGAGCUCAACUCCGGGUCUGCAGUCGAUACGGGCAAACUGGAGUACUGCAGGGGAGACUGGAAUUCCUGGUGUAGCGGUGAAAUGCGCAGAUAUCAGGAGGAACACCGAUGGCGAAGGCAGGUCUCUGGGCAUUAACUGACGCUGAGGAGCGAAAGCAUGGGGAGCGAACAGG
rnacentral:rRNA from 1 species